rnacentral:rRNA from 6 species
GUGAAAUUGAACUCGCUGUGAAGAUGCAGUGUACCCGCGGCAAGACGGAAAGACCCCGUGAACCUUUACUAUAGCUUGACACUGAACAUUGAGCCUUGAUGUGUAGGAUAGGUGGGAGGCUUUGAAGCGUGGACGCCAGUCUGCGUGGAGCCGACCUUGAAAUACCACCCUUUAAUGUUUGAUGUUCUAACGUGGACCCGUAAUCCGGGUUGCGGACAGUGUCUGGUGGGUAGUUUGACUGGGGCGGUCUCCUCCUAAAGAGUAACGGAGGAGCACGAAGGUUGGCUAAUCCUGGUCGGACAUCAGGAGGUUAGUGCAAUGGCAUAAGC